rnacentral:lncRNA from 1 species
UAUACUUCUGAAGAUGCAGUAGGAAGGAAUGAGGCUACUUGAAGAAGAAGAGUAUUAAGGUCCAGCACGACCGGGUAAAAUUGGCAAUUUUUAAAGUCUUUGCUUCAUUCCCGUUUCACAACAACAAGCAAAGAGGGGCAGCUGUAAUACCCAAUUUUAGCCCGGGACCAUGCAGAUUAAAUAAAUAAAUAAAUAAAAAAUAAAUAAAACCAAAUAAAAUAAAAAUUCAGCCCAUUGUCCAUUUGCACCCAAAAUAAACCCAAGAUCUUAGCCCAGUUACAUAAAUAAUUAAAACCCAAAUAACCUAAACCCUAGCCCAAGAAGCAGCCCAAUACACCCAAC